rnacentral:rRNA from 1 species
CGAUGUACACUAGGUGUCCGGCGUUGAAGCCGGGUGCCAAAGCAAACGUGAUAAGUGUACCGCCUGGGGAGUAUGCCCGCAAGGGUGAAACUCAAAGGAAUUGACGGGGGCCCGCACAAGCGGUGGAGCAUGUGGUUUAAUUCGAUGGUACGCGAGGAACCUUACCUGGGUUUGACAUAGUAUCUAAUGCCGUAGAGAUACGGCAGCGUAGCAAUACGAGGUACAACAGGUGCUGCAUGGCUGUCGUCAG